GCAUAUCAAUAAGCGGAGGAAAAGAAACUAACAAGGAUUCCCCUAGUAACUGCGAGUGAAGCGGGAAAAGCUCAAAUUUAAAAUCUGGCGGUCUUUGGCCGUCCGAGUUGUAGUCUGGAGAAGUGCUUUCCGCGCUGGACCGUGUACAAGUCUCUUGGAACAGAGCGUCAUAGAGGGUGAGAAUCCCGUCUUUGACACGGACUACCAGUGCUUUGUGAUGCGCUCUCAAAGAGUCGAGUUGUUUGGGAAUGCAGCUCAAAAUGGGUGGUAAAUUCCAUCUAAAGCUAAAUAUUGGCGAGAGACCGAUAGCGAACAAGUACCGUGAGGGAAAGAUGAAAAGCACUUUGGAAAGAGAGUUAAACAGUACGUGAAAUUGCUGAAAGGGAAACGCUUGAAGUCAGUCGCGUUGGCCAGGACUCAGCCUUGCUUUUCGCUUGGUGCAUUUUCUGGUUGACGGGCCAGCAUCGAUUUUGACCACUGGAAAAAGGCUAGGGGAAUGUGGCACCUUCGGGUGUGUUAUAGCCCUUAGUCACAUACAGUGGUUGGGAUCGAGGACCGCAGCACGCCUUUAUGGCCGGGGUUCGCCCACGUUCGUGCUUAGGAUGCUGGCGUAAUGGCUUUAAACGACCCGUCUUGAAACACGGACC
rnacentral:rRNA from 1 species